GACGAACGCUGGCGGCGUGCCUAAUACAUGCAAGUAGAACGCACAGUUUAUACCGUAGCUUGCUACACCAUAGACUGUGAGUUGCGAACGGGUGAGUAACGCGUAGGCAACCUGCCUGGUAGCGGGGGAUAACUAUUGGAAACGAUAGCUAAUACCGCAUAAUAUUGAAUAUUGCAUGAUAAUUAAUUGAAAGGUGCAAUUGCACCACUACCAGAUGGACCUGCGUUGUAUUAGCUAGUAGGUGAGGUAACGGCUCACCUAGGCGACGAUACAUAGCCGACCUGAGAGGGUGAUCGGCCACACUGGGACUGAGACACGGCCCAGACUCCUACGGGAGGCAGCAGUAGGGAAUCUUCGGCAAUGGACGAAAGUCUGACCGAGCAACGCCGCGUGAGUGAAGAAGGUUUUCGGAUCGUAAAGCUCUGUUGUAAGAGAAGAACGGGUGUGAGAGUGGAAAGUUCACACUGUGACGGUAUCUUACCAGAAAGGGACGGCUAACUACGUG
rnacentral:rRNA from 1 species